AUUGAACGCUGGCGGCAUGCUUUACACAUGCAAGUCGAACGGAAAGGCCCUGCUUUUGUGGGGUGCUCGAGUGGCGAACGGGUGAGUAACACGUGAGUAACCUGCCCUUGACUUUGGGAUAACUUCAGGAAACUGGGGCUAAUACCGGAUAGGAGCUCCUGCUGCAUGGUGGGGGUUGGAAAGUUUCGGCGGUUGGGGAUGGACUCGCGGCUUAUCAGCUUGUUGGUGGGGUAGUGGCUUACCAAGGCUUUGACGGGUAGCCGGCCUGAGAGGGUGACCGGCCACAUUGGGACUGAGAUACGGCCCAGACUCCUACGGGAGGCAGCAGUGGGGAAUAUUGCACAAUGGGCGGAAGCCUGAUGCAGCAACGCCGCGUGCGGGAUGACGGCCUUCGGGUUGUAAACCGCUUUCGCCUGUGACGAAGCGUGAGUGACGGUAAUGGGUAAAGAAGCACCGGCUAACUACGUG
rnacentral:rRNA from 1 species